rnacentral:rRNA from 1 species
CCUACGGGAGGCAGCAGUAGGGAAUAUUGCUCAAUGGGGGAAACCCUGAAGCAGCAACGCCGCGUGGAGGAUGAAGGUUUUCGGAUUGUAAACUCCUUUUGUGAGAGAAGAUAAUGACGGUAUCUCACGAAUAAGCACCGGCUAACUCCGUGCCAGCAGCCGCGGUAAUACGGAGGGUGCAAGCGUUACUCGGAAUCACUGGGCGGAAAGUGUGCGCAGGCGGGCUUGUAAGUCAGAUGUGAAAUCCUGUAGCUUAACUACAGAACUGCAUUUGAAACUAUGAGUCUAGAGUGUGGGAGAGGUAGGUGGAAUUCUUGGUGUAGGGGUAAAAUGCGUAGAUAUCGAGAGGAAUACUCAUGGCGAAGGCGACCUACUGGAACAUUACUGACGCUCAGGCACGAAAGCGUGGGGAGCAAACAGGAUUAGAUACCCCUGUAGUC